ensembl:lncRNA
UGUGUAUAUAUCUCUGUCUGUUAUCCGACCGCUCGUGUUCUGCUCAGCCUGUUUGUGUUCUGCUCAGCCUGUUCAUGUUCUGCUCGUACCUACCCCGUGUCUACCUGGUUUGUCUGUUUACUGUUAUUUUGCUACUUUGUAUAAGUGUUUCAGCUUUGUUUUAUUAAAACUCGCUUUUUGUUAUAAUAUCGUCUGCUGAACUGCUUUUGGGUCCUCUCCUACACCACACCAUGACAGUACGAACCCACCAUAGAAAUGGACCCAGUGGUUUUGAAAGACGAGGAUUUUUUUUGAUCUGCAGAUGGUUUUAGGGGGUCUUUUGAGGGAAUGGAAGGAAGCCACCUGUAGAAGGGACCGGCAGGCCCUUCUUCGAGAGGCCCGCGGGGAGGUAGCUAAGAAGUCGUGGUUGAGGAGUCUUCUGCCUGAGGUACCAAGGAAUUUCCUCAACUUUUGCUGAUCAUUCUGCCUUUGCGUCAGCUCGGCGGACCUCCGUUCCUGCAGCCGGACCUCUGCAGACCCCGGCCGUCCACCUGCCGCCUCUGCAGACCCCGGCUUUCCACUUGCCGCCUCUGCAGACCCCGGCUGACCACCUGCCGCCUCUGCAGAACGCGGCCGUGCCCCUGCCGCCUCUGCAGAACGCGGCCGUCUCCCUGCCGCCUCUGCAGACCCCGGCUGUUCCCCAGCUGCCCUUCGAGGCCCUAGUCCCUGUUCCUGCUGUUGGACAGCGACAACCCUCCGUUCCUGCUGCCGGGCCGCGACAGCCUCCAGUUUCUUCUGCCGGGCCGCAACAGCAUCCUGUUUCUGCUGUCGGGCCGCAACAGCAUCCUGUUUCUGCUGCCGGGUCGCAUCAGUCCUCUGUUUCCGCUGUUGGGCCGCGACAGCCUCCAGUUCCAGCUGCCGGACCUCCGCAGACUUCAGUUCCUGCUGCCGGACCUCCGCAGACUUCAGUUCCCGCUGCCGGACCUCCGCAGACUUCAGUUCCCGCUGCCGGACCUCCGCAGACUUCAGUUCCCGCUGCCGGACCUCCGCAGACCCCCGUCCCUACUGCUGGAUCUCUGCUAACAUCUGCCCCAGCUGUUCACCAGCUGCUCCUCGAGACAUCAGCCCCUGUGCUCCCUCUGUCCCUCGAUACCCCUGACCCUGUGCUCCCUCUGUCCCUCGAUACCCCUGACCCUGUGCUCCCUCUGUCCCUCGAUAGCCCUGACCCUGUGCUCCCUCUGUCCCUCGAUAGCCCUGACCCUGUGCUCCCUCUGUCCCUCGAUACCCCAGACCCUGUGCGCCCUCUGUCUCUCGAUACCCCAGCCUCUGUGAUCCCUCUGUCCCUCGGGACCCCAUCCUCUGUGAUCCCCAUCUCUUCCCGAGACCCCUGUGCUCCCAUCUCUUCCCGAGACCCCUGUGCUCCCAUCUCUUCCCGAGACCCCUGUGCUCCCAUCUCUUCCCGAGACCCAUGUGCUCCCAUCUCCUCCCGAGACCCCUUCGCUCCCCUCUCUUUCCGACAACCUAGUGCUUCCUCCAGCCCGGCCUCCUGAGCGGCUCCGCCCACAUCCUGCCCCGCCUCCCUACGGGUCUUUUGUUCAUGUUCUGCUCGUACCUACCCCGUGUAUACCCUGUGUAUACCCCGUGUCUACACCAUGUCUACACCAUGUCUACCUGGUUUGUCUAUUAUUUUGCUACUUUG